AGUGAACGCUGGCGGCAGGCCUAACACAUGCAAGUCGAACGGCUGCACAGUAAUUGCUUCCUCUUUCGGCUGGCGACUGGCGGAUGGGUGCUGAAAACCUCCGUGUCUAUUUUUUCUUAGGUCAUAACGCGGGCGCUCAUACCCCAUUACUCCAUACGACCUACGGGUGGAAUCUUCGGACCUUCCGCCCUUGCGUGAUUCUAGGUCGGAUUAGCUAGUUGGUGGGGUAAAGGCCUACCAAGGCGACGAUCCGUCACUGGUCUGAGAGGAUGAUCAGUCACACUGGAACUGAGACACGGUCCAGACUCCUACGGGAGGCAGCAGUGGGGAAUAUUGGACAAUGGGCGAAAGCCUGAUCCAGCCAUACCGCGUGGGUGAAGAAGGCCUUCGGGUUGUAAAGCACUUUUGGUGGGAAAGAAAAGCAGUAGGUUAAUACCCCGCUGUUUUGACGGUACCAAAAGAAUAAGCACCGGCUAACUUCGUG
rnacentral:rRNA from 1 species